rnacentral:rRNA from 1 species
GCCUAAACUAUAGCCAACCAAACACACAAACCUCCUUUACUUAAACCAAAACAUUUAUUUCGGCCAGUAAAUGUGAUUAAACCCCACCAUUGGCCUCAAAAGUACCGCAAGGGAAGACUGAAAGAACAAUGAAAAAUUUAAGCGAGAAAUAGCAAAGAUCAACCCCUGUACCUCUUGCAUCAUGGUCUAGCAAACCCCCCUAGACAAAGAGACCUUUAGCCUAUUUACCCGAAACCAAACGAGCUAUUUUUGGGCAGCUUAUAAACUGGAGCGCACCCAUCUCUGUGGCAAAAGAGUGGAAAGACCUAAAAAUAGAGGCGAAAAGCCAACCGAGCUUGGUGAUAGCUGGUUACUCCACAAAAGAAUUUUAGUUCGACUUUAAGUAUUUACCUGAGCCAAACCCCCCCCCCCAAAAUCUCAUACUUUAUACUUAAAGGAACUCAAUGGGGGUACAACCCCAUUGAACCGGAAUACAGCCCGAACCGAGAGAAGAUAAACAACCUAUUCCCGUAGGCUUCAAAGCAGCCACCAUGCUACUGCGUUAUAGCACCACCUCAAUAAUUCCAGAAUCAAAGUUAUCCUCCUGAUAUACUAAGAGUCAUUCUAUAAAAUAGAAAAACCACUGCUAAAAUUAGUAAUAAGAAAUGCUUAUUUCUCCAUGCACCCCUUUAAAUCAGAAUAGAAAAACUACUGACUAUUAACAAUUAAAUGCAACUACCAUCACCUCCUAGCCAACAAUGUUACCUAAAGCUUGUUACCCCAACUCAGGCGUGCAGAAAGGAAAGACAAAAAGCUGAAAAAGGAACUCGGCAAACCAAAAGUCCCAACUGUUUACCAAAAACAUAGCCUUUAGCCCUACAAGUAUUAAAGGUCCCGCCUGCCCAGUGACUCUUUUAACGGCCGCGGUACCCUAACCGUGCAAAGGUAGCAUAAUCACUUGUCUCUUAAAUAGGGACUAGAAUGAAAGGCUAAAUGAGGACCUACCUGUCUCUUACAGCUGGUCAAUGAAAUUGACUUCCCAGUCCAAAGGCUGGGAUUUUUACAUAAGACGAGAAGACCCUGUGGAGCUUAAAGACCAAACCACCAGCAUGCCCACUGAGUUUUUUAGUUGGGGCGACUUCGGAGCAUAAAAAACCCUCCAAAUCACUACACUACUUUGCAAAAUAUACACAUUUAACUAGGUGUUUUCAGACCCAGAAACCAUUACUAGUGGUUUCCUGAUUAAUGAACCAAGUUACCCCAGGGAUAACAGCGCUAUCCCCUUCAAGAGUCCCUAUCGACAAGGGGGUUUACGACCUCGAUGUUGGAUCAGGACACCCUAAUAGUGCAGCCGCUAUUAAAGGUUUGUUUGUUCAACAAUUAAAGUCCCACGUGAUCUGAGUUCAGACCGGAGAAAUCCAGGUCAGUUUCUAUCUAUGCGGCACUAUUUUUAGUACGAAAGGACCAAAAUAACAGGAUAAAUUCUAAAAGAACGUCCUAGUAAUUAACCUCUGAUACCUUCUAAAGGGGAAUAUACGCCACCCCCCGGAUCUAACUAGACUU